UUUGAUCCUGGCUCAGAUUGAACGCUGGCGGCAGGCCUAACACAUGCAAGUCGAGCGGAUGAAGGGAGCUUGCUCCUGGAUUCAGCGGCGGACGGGUGAGUAAUGCCUAGGAAUCUGCCUGGUAGUGGGGGAUAACGUCCGGAAACGGGCGCUAAUACCGCAUACGUCCUGAGGGAGAAAGUGGGGGAUCUUCGGACCUCACGCUAUCAGAUGAGCCUAGGUCGGAUUAGCUAGUUGGUGGGGUCAAGGCCUACCAAGGCGACGAUCCGUAACUGGUCUGAGAGGAUGAUCAGUCACACUGGAACUGAGACACGGUCCAGACUCCUACGGGAGGCAGCAGUGGGGAAUAUUGGACAAUGGGCGAAAGCCUGAUCCAGCCAUGCCGCGUGUGUGAAGAAGGUCUUCGGAUUGUAAAGCCCUUUAAGUUGGGAGGAAGGGCAGUAAGUUAAUACCUUGCUGUUUUGACGUUACCAACAGAAUAAGCACCGGCUAACUUCGUGCCAGCAGCCGCGGUAAUACGAAGGGUGCAAGCGUUAAUCGGAAUUACUGGGCGUAAAGCGCGCGUAGGUGGUUCAGCAAGUUGGAUGUGAAAUCCCCGGGCUCAACCUGGGAACUGCAUCCAAAACUACUGAGCUAGAGUACGGUAGAGGGUGGUGGAAUUUCCUGUGUAGCGGUGAAAUGCGUAGAUAUAGGAAGGAACACCAGUGGCGAAA
rnacentral:rRNA from 1 species